UACGUAGGUGGCAAGCGUUGUCCGGAUUUACUGGGCGUAAAGGAUGCGUAGGCGGAUGUUUAAGUGAGAUGUGAAAUACCCGAGCUCAACUUGGGUGCUGCAUUUCAAACUGGAUAUCUAGAGUGCAGGAGAGGAAAGCGGAAUUCCUAGUGUAGCGGUGAAAUGCGCAGAGAUUAGGAAGAACACCAGUGGCGAAGUCGGCUUUCUGGACUGUAACUGACGCUGAGGCAUGAAAGCGUGGGGAGCAAACAAG
rnacentral:rRNA from 1 species